rnacentral:rRNA from 1 species
AGAAUGAACGCUGGCGGCAGGCUUAACACAUGCAAGUCGAGCGCCCCGCAAGGGGAGCGGCAGACGGGUGAGUAACGCGUGGGAACAUACCCUCCGGUUCGGAAUAGCUCAGGGAAACUUGGAUUAAUACCGGAUACGGCCUAGCGGCGAAAGAUUCAUCGCCGGAGGAUUGGCCCGCGUUCGAUUAGCUAGUUGGUGAGGUAACGGCUCACCAAGGCGACGAUCGAUAGCUGGUCUGAGAGGAUGAUCAGCCACAUUGGGACUGAGACACGGCCCAAACUCCUACGGGAGGCAGCAGUGGGGAAUAUUGGACAAUGGGCGCAAGCCUGAUCCAGCCAUGCCGCGUGAGUGAUGACGGCCUUAGGGUUGUAAAGCUCUUUCGCUAGGGACGAUAAUGACGGUACCUAGACAAGAAGCCCCGGCUAACUUCGCGCCAGCAGCCGC